GUAGCACCCAGCUUGGCAUUAGUGAGCAGAAGGGAGAUGGAUGUUUUCAGUCCUCAUUUGGAAAACCACAUCAUACACAUGACCCCAGAAAUUACCAUGAUUGUCCACAUUUGAGCCAUAAACUACAAGUUAUGGAUUUUGUAUUGACUUUUAUUACCAGACUCGUUUUCUUUACUGAGCUGAAAAACCACACACCUGACUCUCCUCCCG
rnacentral:lncRNA from 10 species